rnacentral:rRNA from 1 species
UCCGUAGGUGGCAAUCGUUGUCCGGAAUUACUGGGUGUAAAGGGCGUGUAGGCGGGACUGCAAGUCAGAUGUGAAAGUCCCAGGCUCAACCUGGGGGCUGCAUCUGAAACUGUGGUUCUUGAGUGCUGGAGAGGAAAGCGGAAUUCCUAGUGUAGCGGUGAAAUGCGUAGAUAUUAGGAGGAACACCAGUGGCGAAGGCGGCUUUCUGGACAGUAACUGACGCUGAGGCGCGAAAGCGUGGGUAGAGAACAGG